GAUGAACGCUAGCGGCAGGCCUAACACAUGCAAGUCGAGGGGCAGCACAGAAACAGCAAUGUUUUGGUGGCGACCGGCGGACGGGUGCGUAACGCGUAUGCAACCUACCUUUAACAGGGGGAUAACGGAGAGAAAUUUCCACUAAUACCCCAUAGCAUCGAUCAAGGCAUCUUGAUUGGUUGAAAACUACGGUGGGUAAAGAUGGGCAUGCGUUGUAUUAGGUAGUUGGUGAGGUAAUGGCUCACCAAGCCUACGAUACAUAGGGGACUGAGAGGUUAGCCCCCCACGCUGGUACUGAGACACGGACCAGACUCCUACGGGAGGCAGCAGUGAGGAAUAUUGGUCAAUGGGGGCAACCCUGAACCAGCCAUGCCGCGUGCAGGAAGACGGCUCUAUGAGUUGUAAACUGCUUUUAAACAGGGAUAAAGCACAGUAUGUAUACUGUGUUGAAGGUACUGUAAGAAUAAGGAUCGGCUAACUCCGUGCCAGCCGCCGCGGUAA
rnacentral:rRNA from 1 species